CAACAGGCAACGAUCAUUGGUUAGAAAAUUGAAUUUAUCAAAAGCCGGUGUAUUGCGUUGUUUCAAGAUAUUUUUCUGAAGAUUUCAUAUUUUUUCGAAUUGAGAGUAUACAGAAUUUUUACAACAAGCCAUUAUGGAACUCACCGAUGACAACUUGCUUACACUCAGUGAAUAUUUAAAGCAUACACUUAGCCCCGAUGUAAAUGUUAGACGGCCAGCCGAAAAAUUUUUAGAAUCAGUUGAAAUAAAUCAAAAUUAUCCAUUACUUCUUUUACAUCUUGUGGAUAAGUCUGAAAUCAAUAUAACUAUAAGAAUCGCUGGAGCUGUUGCAUUUAAAAAUUAUGUAAAACGUAAUUGGAAAGUGGGAGAAGAUUCUGUAGAUCGUAUACAUGCGCAAGAUAGGGAUGCUAUAAAAAAAUUAAUUGUUAAUCUAAUGCUGCAUUCUCCUGAUUCUGUUCAAAAACAGUUAUCUGAUGCUGUUUCAAUAGUUGGAAAGUAUGAUUUCCCAAAUAAAUGGCCAGAGCUUAUCGACCAAAUGGUUGACAAAUUCAAUACAGGCGAUUUUCAUGUUAUCAAUGGUGUCUUACAUACAGCACAUUCAUUAUUUAAAAGAUAUAGAUAUGAAUUUAAGAGUCAGAGCCUAUGGACUGAGAUAAAAUUUGUAUUGGAUAGAUUUGCUAAACCUUUGACAGAUCUAUUUGUUGCUACAAUGAAUCUAAUGCAAGUACAUGCAAACAAUAUAGAUGCAUUGAAAGUUAUAUAUAGCUCUUUGGUAAUUUUAUCCAAGGUGUUCUACUCUCUUAAUUUCCAAGAUUUACCAGAAUUUUUUGAAGACAAUAUGGCUGUGUGGAUGAGGAAUUUUCAUAUUUUGUUGAAUACAAAUGUUCCCUCUCUUCAAUCUACUGACGAAGAAGAACCAGGAGUAAUUGAACAGUUAAAGUCACAAGUUUGUGACAAUAUUGGCCUUUAUGCUCAGAAAUAUGAUGAAGAGUUUCAACCAUACUUACCUGAAUUCGUAACUGCUGUAUGGAAUUUACUAACAUCGACUGGGCAACAACCAAAAUAUGAUACUCUAGUUUCGAAUGCCUUGCAAUUUUUAGCAACAGUAGCUGACCGUGCUCAAUAUAGAAACUUGUUCGAAGAUCCAACCACUUUGAGCAAUAUUUGUGAAAAGGUUAUAAUACCUAAUAUGGAAUUUAGAGAGUCGGAUAAUGAAUUAUUUGAGGAUAAUCCUGAGGAAUAUAUCAGGCGAGAUAUUGAGGGUAGCGAUGUCGAUACACGAAGACGUGCUGCCUGUGAUUUAGUUAAAGUACUUUCUAAAUAUUUUGAAGCGAAAAUAAUGGAAAUUUUUGGUGCCUAUAUACAGGUGAUGUUACAAAAUUAUGCUGAUAAACCAGUUGAAAAUUGGCGCAGUAAGGAUGCUGCAAUUUAUCUAGUCACCAGUAGUGCAAGCAAAGCUCAAACACAAAAACAUGGUGUUACGCAGAGCAGCGAGCUUGUUUCGUUACCUCAAUUUGCAAUGCAACAUAUUGAACCGGAGUUAGUCAAACCAAAUGUGAAUGAAUUUUCUGUACUUAAAGCUGAUGCAAUUAAAUUUAUAAUGACCUUCAGAUCAAUAUUGCCAAGAGAAAUGAUAAUUGGUAGUUUACCACAACUAAUUAGGCAUUUAAGUGCUUCAAAUAUCGUUGUACACACAUAUGCUGCUUGCACGAUUGAAAAAAUACUCGCAAUGAAAGGACCCGAUAAUACACCUUUAGUUAAAGCAAAUGAUUUAUCACCAUUGACGUCGGAUUUAUUAAAGGGUCUAUUUGCAUGUUUAAAUACACCUGGCUCAGAAGAAAACGAAUAUGUAAUGAAAGCUAUCAUGAGAAGCUUCGGUGUUCUACAAGAGGUGAUUGUACCAUUCUUAGCAGAUCUUCUCCCAAAACUUACAGAAAAACUUUCUAUUGUAUCUAAAAAUCCAAGUCGUCCCAAUUUUAACCAUUAUCUCUUCGAAACAUUUGCUUUAUCAAUUAAAAUCGUUUGUAAAACACACAAAGUUGCAGUAUCGUCAUUUGAAGAAGCACUGUUCCCAAUUUUUCAAGAAAUCUUACAACAAGAUGUUUUAGAAUUUCUACCAUACGUUUUUCAAAUCCUUGCUUUACUUCUGGAACUACGAACGACACAGGAUAUGCCAGAAGCGUAUUUGGCUUUGUUCCCUUGUCUAUUAUCAUCCGUUUUAUUUGAACGCCAAGCUAAUAUUCACCCAUUAAAUCGAUUAUUAAGAGCUUUCAUUAGUCAUGGUGCACAUCAUAUCGUAGCACAAGAUAAGACAAAUGGUUUAUUAGGUGUAUUCCAAAAAUUGAUUGCCUCAAAGGCUAAUGAUCACGAAGGUUUCCUAUUAUUACAAAGUAUUAUUGAAUAUUUUGCACCGAAUGUAUUAGAACCAUAUAUGAAACAAAUUUUUGUGCUAUUGUUCCAAAGACUUUCAUCUUCGAAAACGACAAAAUUUGUAAAGGGUCUAAUCGUAUUUUUUGCGUACUAUAUUAUUAGAUAUGGCUCAAAUAAUUUGGUUACAAUUAUUGAUCAAAUACAAUCUCGAAUGUUUGGUAUGGUUGUAGAACGCGUAUUAAUAGCAGAUAUGCAAAAAGUAUCAGGUGAUAUCGAACGAAAAGUAACUGCUGUGGGAAUGUCAAAUUUACUAAUUGAUUGCCCAAUGAUACUAGAAAGGCCAUAUAAUACAUAUUAUCCCCGUUUAUUAGCAACGUUAGUAGAAUUUUUCGAAUUACCACAGGAUCAGACUACAUUAUCCGAAGAUAAUAUAUUCCCAGAAACUGAAGAUACGCCUGGGUAUCAAGUAGGAUAUAGUCAACUGCUUUGUGGAAAAAAUCCUCCAAAAGAUCCUCUGGAAGCUAUUGGCGACGUACGUUUACAUUUAGCACAAGGAUUAGCAAGAUUGUCACCAAGACAAUUACUUAGUAUUCUUGACCAAAUUCCAGAACCUAAUGCAAACCACCUGAGAGGCUACCUUCAAACGGUUGGCAUUACCGUUGCAUAAUACGAGCUAGAUGUCCGAGAUAGACUAAAAAUUCAUCUGAUUGCUCGGAAAAUAAACAACAUUGAAUUGAAUAAAUUAUAACAAAGAAGUGAAAGAGGUUGUUUUCCGGCAUUUAUAUCAUGAACAUUUGCGAGACUGAACAUCGUAUCGUUUAUCUAUCAUGUAAUUGAACAUUUCAACAAUUAUUUAUCAUUUUCAUGUGAUAUAUUGUACGGAGUCUAUGACACUAAAAAUGAUUAAAAAAAGGAAAAUAUGCUAAAACUUUAGCACAAAAACCAUUAAAAAUAAUCAGCUGCUACGUAUUAUUUGUAUGUGGAAACAUUCCUGAGGAAUUACUUAAAUCAGUUCACAUUUUGUACAAUAACAAGGACGACAAGCGCGUCUUUUUAAAUUAACUGGUCUCUUGUCUAAAAAAUACGUGAAUGUCUAAUUAAAUGAUACUGUAUCGACUAAUGGCCUGCCAUUUAUGCAAUAAUAGCAACAAUAAAGUAAGGCAAUAUCAAGAUUUAUACAGUGGAGAAAUCGACAAAGGGACGGCUCUAUGUGAAAAAAAAGCUGAAAAUGUUGAAUAAAAUUUCUUUAUAUGAAGUUUUAUUUACAGAAAAACAGUUCGAAAAUUUAUCAGGUCUAUUUGAACUUAGCUAGUUCUGAACUAAACAGGAGUGAAUAGACGGCAGGAAAUUAUUCUGCAUGUAAAAACAAGCCCUAAAUAUAAAAUCAAAUUUUGCCAUAAGACGCUUCGUUUUUAGGAAAAUUAAAUUUUAAAAUUUAUCAAAUACGUAUGUAUCAGGCCCAUUCUUAAAUAAAAAUAUUCAAACUCUAUUUUUUUUUUUAAAUCAAGACCUUAAAUGGCUUAAAUAGACAAAUUGUAUCACGCGUGAAUUUUAAUCUAUACUCUUUACUUAUUUUCACAUGUAGAAUAACCUUCCACUGAUUAUCUACUCAUCGGUAAUUAGCCAAAUUUAUAUAUGCUAAAUAAUUUUUCAAAUUCGAUUUUAUCAAAAAACAGCAAACAUCGUAUGAAAAGAUUGUAUUUUAUAAUUUCAAUUAACUUUUUCAUGUAGAAUCGCUCUCUUACUCAUUACUCAUUACUCACCAUGGUUAUUGGAACAUUGCAUUUUUAAAUCGCUAAAGCUUCAUUUUUUCUUAAAAAAAUGUUUUAUAUAAUUAUAUAUUAUUUGAAUUUAUUAAUUGAUAUAAAAGUAAUUAUACAAUUUAUAGACUUUUUCUAGUUAUUUGACUUCAGUCUUUUUCAUAAACUUGUAAAGCAUGGUAUAAUAAGAGGGUGAUUCUGUGUGAAAAAUAAAUUGAAAAUAUGCAAUAAAAUGUUUUCACACUGUGCUUUUUUUUUUUUUUUUUUUUUUUGAGAAAAUCGAAUUUAAAAAUUUGUUUCUAUACGUAUAUGAACUUCGCUAAUACCGACUAGGUACAAACUGAAAUAAGUAAACAAUUAACAAGAGAUUCUUUUAUAUGUAAAAAUAAAUAAAAAAUGUAGAAUAACA